UAUUUUACUGUAUUAUGUACAGUAAGAUACUGUAAAAUGUAUAUACAGUAUUUUACUGUAAACUGCAAAGGAUUAUGGGAAAAUGUAUGGUCACUACAGUAAACUACUGUAAAUUUACAGUAGUGAACUUGCCCGCGAAAAACUGACCAAUGGCAAGGGAGAUGUAUUUUGUUUGCUGUUUGGUGGAAGCAGCGGUAAAAGGACAAAAGAGACACUUUGCACUGUUAACUAGACAAAAAGGUUAGUAGGCAUAUAUUAUUUCUGUUUUAUGCAAAACUGAGAUAUUUUAAGAUGUUUUAAUUUAUUAACAGCAAACUAACAUCCAUCGUGUCGUUUUUCAUGUCGGAGUUGAGGCCUUUUUUUCUGACUGAAGGCCGGAUUAACGCCGCCAUAACAGUGAUAGCAUCGACUGUCUAGAUUUCGUCGACAACGUCGGAGGUGUAUUUUGGAUGAAGCCUCUUCUUGUGACUGGCAUAGUUUCGAUGAUAACAUCAACUGUUUGUGGUCUUGUGGUCAUGUCGUCUGCAUCGGAGGAGUAUUGGAGUCUUUACCUGUGAUUGACGUCGUAACAACAGGAUCCUGAAUAUGAGGCAGAAUCAUCGUACAGCCAGCUGUCCGUUUUACAGAAAUGCAGAAUUAGGUUCAUUCAGAUCUUUGUGGCACCAAAUGCAUUGAAAGUAACAGGUCAGCUGGCAUUCUGGAAAGAGGGUGCAAAGAAAAAGGAUCUGCCUGAAUCCCAUCCUGCUGUUUCUCAUCGGAGAGCUUGUCAACUUUGACUGUCAAAAUUACUGAAAUUUAACAUAACACAAACUCAUUUUUACUGUUACUAUUAUUUGAUUUUUAUUAAUACUACCAGUCAAAAGUUUUUGAACGGUAAGAUUUUUAAUGUUUUUAAAGAAGCCUCUUCUGCUCACCAAGCCUGCAUUUAUUUGAUCCAAAGUACAGCAAAAACAGUACAAUUUUGAAAUAUUUUUACUAUUUAAAAUAAAUGUUUUCUAUUUGAAUAUAUUUUAAAAUGUA